CGGGGUGCAGCAGGCGCGAAAACUUUACAAUGCCGGCAACGGCGAUAAGGGAACCUCGAGUGCCAGGUUACAAAUCUGGCUGUCGUGAUGCCUAAAAAGCAUUGCAUAGCAAGGGCCGGGCAAGACCGGUGCCAGCCGCCGCGGUAACACCGGCGGCUCGAGUGGUAACCGUUAUUAUUGGGUCUAAAGGGUCUGUAGCCGGCCGGAUAAGUCUCUUGGGAAAUCUGGCAGCUUAACUGUCAGGCUUUCAGGAGAUACUGUCUGGCUCGAGGCCGGGAGAGGUGAGAGGUACUUCAGGGGUAGGGGUGAAAUCUUGUAAUCCUUGAAGGACCUCCAGUGGCGAAGGCGUCUCACCAGAACGGACCUGACGGCAAGGGACGAAAGCUAGGGGCACGAACCGGAUUAGAUACCCGGGUAGUCCUAGCCGUAAACGAUACUCGCUAGGUGUCGGCCACGGUGCGACCGUGGUCGGUGCCGUAGGGAAGCCGUGAAGCGAGCCACCUGGGAAGUACGGCCGCAAGGCUGAAACUUAAAGGAAUUGGCGGGGGAGCAC
rnacentral:rRNA from 1 species